rnacentral:pre_miRNA from 1 species
GAUAAAUGCUCAUCAUUGAGAGCAGCAUUGACCGUUUGAACUGAACAACAGUUCGACCGGUCGAUGCUGCAUUCAAUGAUAAGCUUUUAUU